AUAUAUGAAGCAAUGCUUCUGGUAGUGGUUAAAUGAGCAUUUUCUUCCAGUCUGUUGUAUCUUAUUUCUGAGCUCUACUUUAGUAAUUUAGUAGCAUCAGCUCUUACCUCGUUCCAACCUCAAUCUGUUGACCCAUUGCUUGCCGGAGAAAAAAACGAACAUUCUGGUGACAUAUUGCUUAAGGUUCAAGAGAAGAGAGGAUUUAAUGCUGCAAAAGGGUUUCAACUUUGAGAAGGAUUUAAAGCAUUGUUUGUUGGCAAAUGUCUAUUUGCAGACCGUUGGCCCCGGUAGCUUACUUUAAGGACAUGCUGGAGACAAACAUAGAUUGGCAACCAGUCUUCAGCAUCCUAAAACACCAUUGGCAUUCAGAAACCGCUUGCAGCAUAUAUUUCAAGCAACUAUAGACAAAAAUUUCAG